UACGUAGGGUGCGAGCGUUGUCCGGAUUUAUUGGGCGUAAAGAGCUCGUAGGCGGCUUUGCAAGUCGGGUGUGAAAUCCCCAGGCUUAACCUGGGAACUGCAUUCGAGACUGCAUUGCUAGAGUAUGGGAGAGGGAAGUGGAAUUUCCGGUGUAGCGGUGAAAUGCGUAGAUAUCGGAAGGAACAUCAGUGGCGAAAGCGACUUCCUGGACCAAUACUGACGCUCAUGUGCGAAAGCGUGGGGAGCAAACAGG
rnacentral:rRNA from 1 species